CCUACGGGGGGCAGCAGUGAGGAAUAUUGGUCAAUGGGCGAGAGCCUGAACCAGCCAAGUCGCGUGAGGGAGUACUGCCCUAUGGGUUGUAAACCUCUUUUGUCGGGGAGCAAAAGCCGGACGUGUCCGGCUGUGAGAGUACCCGAAGAAAAAGCAUCGGCUAACUCCGUGCCAGCAGCCGCGGUAAUACGGGGGAUGCGAGCGUUAUCCGGAUUUAUUGGGUUUAAAGGGUGCGCAGGCGGAUUUUUAAGUCAGCGGUAAAAUCGUGGGGAUCAACCCCAUCCAGCCGUUGAAACUGGGGAUCUAGAGUGUGGUAGAGGUAUGCGGAAUGCGUGGUGUAGCGGUGAAAUGCAUAGAUAUCACGCAGAACCCCGAUUGCGAAGGCAGCAUACCGGUGCACAACUGACGCUCAGGCACGAAAGCGUGGGUAUCGAACAGGAUUAGAUACCCGAGUAGUC
rnacentral:rRNA from 1 species